rnacentral:rRNA from 1 species
UGAGGAAUAUUGGACAAUGGGCGAAAGCCUGAUCCAGCCAUGCCGCGUGUGUGAAGAAGGUCUUCGGAUUGUAAAGCACUUUAAGUUGGGAGGAAGGGCAGUAAGCGAAUACCUUGCUGUUUUGACGUUACCGACAGAAUAAGCACCGGCUAACUCUGUGCCAGCAGCCGCGGUAAUACAGAGGGUGCAAGCGUUAAUCGGAAUUACUGGGCGUAAAGCGCGAGUAGGUGGUUCGUUAAGUGGAAUGUGAAAGCCCCGGGCUCAACCUGGGAACUGCAUCCAAAUCUGGCGAGCUACAGUAGGGCAGAAGGUGGUGGAAUUUCAUGUGUAGCGGUGAAAUGCGUAGAUAUAGGAAGGUACACCAGUGGCGAAGGCGACCACCUGGGCUCAUACUGACUCUGAGGUGCGAAAGCGUGGGGAGCAAACAGG